CUACRGACUUGAUUGGAUUGAGCCUUGGUAUGAAAACUUACUAAGUGAAAACUUUCAAAUUCAGAGAAACCCUGGAABUAAAAAUGGGCAAUCCUGAGCMAAAUCCUGUUUUCAAAAARCAAACAAGGGUUCAGAAAGCDAGAAUCAAAAAAGGAUAGGUGCAGAGACUCAAUGGAAGCUGUUCUAACGAAUGGAGUUGACUGCGUUACGAUACUCACCCUCACGCUAACCUACACGUUUACGUGAUUGGUUUUGAUUAGAAACUG
rnacentral:ncRNA from 1 species